UACGAAAGGAAGUUGACGGGGACCCGCACAAGCGGUGGAUGAUGUGGUUUAAUUCGACGCAACGCGAAAACCUUACCACCUUUGACAUGUACGGAAGCCUUUAGAGAUAGAGGCGUGCUCGAAAGAGAGCCGUAACACAGGUGCUGCAUGGCUGUCGUCAGCUCGUGUCGUGAGAUGUUGGGUUAAGUCCCGCAACGAGCGCAACCCUUGUCAUUAGUUGCUACAUUCAGUUGGGCACUCUAAUGAGACUGCCGGUGACAAGCCGGAGGAAGGUGGGGAUGACGUCAAGUCCUCAUGGCCCUUAUAGGUGGGGCUACACACGUCAUACAAUGGCUGGUACAAAGGGUUGCCAACCCGCGAGGGGGAGCUAAUCCCAUAAAGCCAGUCGUAGUCCGGAUCGUAGUCUGCAACUCGACUACGUGAAGUCGGAAUCGCUAGUAAUCGUGGAUCAGAAUGUCACGGUGAAUACGUUCCCGGGUCUU
rnacentral:rRNA from 1 species